rnacentral:rRNA from 1 species
UACGAAGGGGGCUAGCGUUGUUCGGAAUUACUGGGCGUAAAGCGCACGUAGGCGGGUCGUUAAGUCAGGGGUGAAAUCCCGGAGCUCAACUCCGGAACUGCCUUUGAUACUGGCGAUCUAGAGAUCGAGAGAGGUGAGUGGAAUUCCGAGUGUAGAGGUGAAAUUCGUAGAUAUUCGGAAGAACACCAGUGGCGAAGGCGGCUCACUGGCUCGAUACUGACGCUGAGGAGCGAAAGCGUGGGGAGCGAACAGG